UACGUAGGGUGCAAGCGUUGUCCGGAAUUAUUGGGCGUAAAGAGCUCGUAGGCGGUCUGUCGCGUCUGCUGUGAAAACUCGGGGCUUAACCCCGGGCCUGCAGUGGGUACGGGCAGACUAGAGUGCGGUAGGGGAGACUGGAAUUCCUGGUGUAGCGGUGAAAUGCGCAAAUAUCAGGAGGAACACCGGUGGCGAAGGCGGGUCUCUGGGCCGUAACUGACGCUGAGGAGCGAAAGCAUGGGGAGCGAACAGG
rnacentral:rRNA from 1 species